AGUGAACGCUGGCGGUAGGCCUAACACAUGCAAGUCGAACGGCAGCACAGUAAGAGCUUGCUCUUACGGGUGGCGAGUGGCGGACGGGUGAGGAAUACAUCGGAAUCUACUUUUUCGUGGGGGAUAACGUAGGGAAACUUACGCUAAUACCGCAUACGACCUACGGGUGAAAGCAGGGGAUCUUCGGACCUUGCGCGAUUGAAUGAGCCGAUGUCGGAUUAGCUGGUUGGCGGGGUAAAGGCCCACCAAGGCGACGAUCCGUAGCUGGUCUGAGAGGAUGAUCAGCCACACUGGAACUGAGACGCGGUCCAGACUCCUACGGGAGGCAGCAGUGGGGAAUAUUGGACAAUGGGCGCAAGCCUGAUCCAGCCAUACCGCGUGGGUGAAGAAGGCCUUCGGGUUGUAAAGCCCUUUUGUUGGGAAAGAAAAGCAGCAGGUUAAUACCCCGCUGUUCUGACGGUACCCAAAGAAUAAGCACCGGCUAACUUCGUG
rnacentral:rRNA from 1 species